rnacentral:lncRNA from 1 species
CCGCGCCAGGCUGCCCCUGCCAACCCCGAGGGGGGAAGACUGUGCUCUGAGGUCCUCGGGGAUGGUUGUUGCGGGCCUCGGCCUCCCUAGAUUCCUUCCCAUCUCCCCAACAGCAAUCCUCCCAGGGCCAUGGGCCAGGAACCCCUGGUGGUUCUGUAUUCUGAGGUUCUGCAGACGCAGGGUGUAGUCUCCUGCGAGUCCAUUUUGAUUUGGAAGGCUGCGGGAGGAGGUGGCCGAGACCCCUUCCCUAGACCGCGAGGCAGGACGGAGGCAGCCGUUAGGAACGGCCCCACUCCACCAGCCGGCCCCGCGGGACGGUUACUCUGUUCCUGAGAUUGUCUGUGGGGUCAGAAACAGCUCUGGAGGGGCCUGCAGAAAUUACUUUCCCAAGUCUUUGGGCUGGAAGGAACGAACAGUGCCUGACCAAGGACUUUGAGCAGGAGAGAGAUGGGAGCAGAGAGGAGCCAAGGUCCACUAUUUUCACUUCUGUCAAUUAGAUCAAAGCCCUGCCCAGAAGCUUUGAGCGCCGCUGUCAAGUCCCAUUCCUCCCCUAAACCAUCCAGGUUCCAUCUGCCUUGAAGCCAAAGGAUCUUCUUAGAUUCCUCAAGAAAAAUUCAGGCCCCGAGUUUCUCCACCAGCACUCUCCUCUCCCCGAAGGAGUGGGUGGGCUGCAUUUCUCUUCAUAUUCUAUUCCAUUCCAGACCGUCUUGGACUACCAGCCUGUCCGCCACCCCUCGGGGCCCUCCCUCCUACUCUGCCCUUGCCCGCUGAGGUCCCAAGCUGAGGAGAUGAGCAGAGCAGUAAAAAGAGAGGAGGUUUGGAAAAGCAAUGUCCUCUCAGUCUUUAACAGGUGGCCCCCCUAGGAACCUGCUGGAAGUGGAAGUUAAUAAGCUGAAGGUGGUCACAACCAAUCUCUGCCACACUCGCACCCUCCGCCACCCCAAAUCAUUCCUUUUAAUUAAUAGUGGAAGACCUUUUUAAAAAUGUAACAUGAAUUGGCUAUUUCUUGAGGCAAACAAAAGGUGGCUCUGAAGCGAUAUAUUUGUACUUGUAUAAAUUCAUUAAAAUAGAAAGCUUAUAACCAUCCAGGUUUCAC